AACAUGGCGAGGGAAUUUUGCUGUAGCGCUGUAACGGGAGUUGUAGUGUUUACAGCGUUGAUCCAACGGGACGCCUGAGAGGAAAACUUUCUGAAGAGUUUUGUCUGAGAAAAAAGGAUUCCGAAGGUGGGUCGGUCUCAGCGUGAGUGAGCGUCUUUCUUUGCUCUGCCAGGAGCCAGGAUCAGACCAGGUAGGGGACCUGGAUGUGUCUUCUCACCCACUGAGGAUGAUCUGAACUGGGAAGAAUCCUCUAAAGUGUCCCCCCUCAACAAAGAUAUGGCCUCAGCGACGUCCAGCCCAGGAUCAGCUUCCCCCGGCUCGCAGGUUCACGCGGCAGCUGUCAACGGAGAUAGAAGCGCCCUCGUCAAACUCAUCACAGCCGAGCCCCAGUUGAGGGACCAUGAGGACCAGUUUGGCCGCACCCCCUUGAUGUACUGUGUGCUGGCCGACCGGCUGGACUGCGCUGAGGUUCUGCUGAAGGCCGGCGCCUCGGUCAACAAGACGGACCACAGCCAGAGGAGCGCUCUGCACCUGGCAGCACAGAAGGGCAACGUGCGUUUCCUGAAGUUGCUCCUGUCCAGGCGUGCCAACUGUCUGCAGAAGGACUUGGAGGGCAUGACCCCCCUCCACCUGGCCACGCGACACCCGUCUCCCAAAGCCCUCGCCCUGCUGCUCAAACACAUCGGGCCUGGAGAGGUGGACACGCAGGACAAAAAUAAGCAAACCGCUCUUCACUGGUCAGCAUUUUAUAACCGACCGGAGCACGUCCGCCUUCUCAUCAAGCACGAUUCCAACAUCGGCAUCCCGGACAGCGAGGGCAAGAUUCCUCUGCACUGGGCUGCACACAGUCAGGAGGCCAGCGCCACGCAAACUGUCCACUGCAUACUGGAAGCAGCGCCCACUGAGUCCCUGCUGAACUGGCAGGACUACGAGGGUCGGACGCCUUUGCACUUUGCUGUUGCCGAUGGAAACGAGGCAGUGGUUGAGGUGUUAACGUCUUAUGAGGGUUGCAAUGUCACGGCUUACGAUAACCUCUUCAGAACGCCGCUGCACUGGGCGGCACUGCUCGGACAUGCAAAAAUUGUCCAUCUGCUGCUGGAGAGAAACACGUCCGGGACGAUUCCUUCAGACAGCCAAGGAGCGACGCCGCUGCAUUAUGGGGCUCAGAGCAACAACGCUGAAACGGUCGGCGUGUUUCUGUCUCACCCGUCUGUGAAAGACGAGCCCGACCUGGAGGGCCGGACGGCCUUCAUGUGGGCCGCCGGGAAGGGAAGCGAUGAAGUCAUCCGCACCAUGCUCUCCCUCGUCCCUCGCAUCGACAUCAACAUGGCCGACAAGUAUGGCGGCACCGCGCUCCAUGCGGCCUCCCUGUCGGGCCAGGUGAGCACGGUGAAGCUGCUGCUGGAGAAGGGAGCAACAGUCGACUCCCUGGACGUCAUGAAGCACACGCCGCUGUUUCGUGCCUGUGAGAUGGGAUACAAAGAUGUUAUCCUCACGCUCAUCAAAGGUUCUGCUUGUGUGGAGCUGGUUGAUGUGGACGGUCACACAGCUCUCCACUGGGCGGCUCUGGGGGGGAACGCCGAGGUCUGCCAGAUACUGAUGGAGAACGGGAUCAGUCCCAACGUCCAGGAUCACGCAGGACGCACUCCGCUGCAGUGUGCUGCAUACGGUGGUUACAUCACAUGCAUGGCGGUUCUGAUGGAAAACAACGCUGACCCAAAUAUACAAGACAAGGAGGGGCGGACUGCGAUUCACUGGUCCUGCAACAACGGGUACCUGGACGCUGUGAAGCUGCUCCUGGGCUACCACGCCUUCCCCAACCAGAUGGAGCUCACCGAGGAGAGAUAUACGCCUCUGGACUACGCUUUACUGGGGGGCCACAGUGAGGUGACCCAGUUCAUGCUGGAGCACGGCGCUCUGUCCAUCGCCGCCAUCCAGGACAUCGCCGCUGCCACCAUCCAGGCCGUCUAUAAGGGCUACACCGUCCGAAAGGCCUUCAGAGAGAGGAAGCAGCUCCUCAUGCGACACGAGCAGCUGCGCAAGGAUGCGGCCAAGAAGAGAGAAGAAGAGCAGCGAAGGCGAGGCGCGACACAGCAUGUUGGAGCGGACGGUGCGGACAAACCCAGGGUUUCACUUCUGAGAGCAGAGCAGGAGGCGCGCUCCUUAACGAACAUCGUGGAAGACCUAACCGUGAACGACUCGUCUGUCGACACAAAGACACACGCCAAGGUCAAAGAGGGGAGGCAUAAAGGCCAGAAGAUCAGGAUUUCUGGAAGAAGUCUUGCAGCUGAGCGACAAGAAGCUUUGAGCUGCAGCCCUGUCCUCGGCGACCGCUCUCCACCCGAAGCCUCACAGCACAGCCGGCUGAAGAAGCUUCUCUCUCCCGCCGGCUCUAGACAACCCCCCACUCUUAAACCUACACCUCCCACAGCGGCCAAAGCUGCCGGAGAACGGUCUUCCUCUGUCGCGUCCGCUGCAUCCGUAACGGCCUCCUCUGCAGACCGAGCUGAGGCGAACUCAAGGGACGGCAGAAAGAAAGACCCUGCCACGACUGGUCACUCGUCACGCAAGCACCGGAACCACAAAGAGCCAAGUUCAGAGGUCAGACAUCAAGCUCCAUCACUGAGGAGCAGCUCGUCUUUAGAUCACAAAAGGCCCCGCAGGAAAACGCAGUCUGGUGGGAGGGAGCAUGAGAAGGAGCAGGCGAGGAGGAACGAUGCCGCACGGAUCAUCCAGCGAGCGUGGCAGAGGUUCUGUGCACGCAGGAGGACAGAGGUGAGGGCCUGUGAAGAAGCCAAGCAGAGCAAGUCGAGCUGCACCCCCGGAAGGAAAAAAGCGGAAAACAGAGCAGCGUUUGGAAAACCUGUGUCGAGUAAAAGCUCUGUGCUGCAGAGCAUCUAUGGCAACUCUAUGGCGAGACGAGGACGCUCGCUUCAGGGCUCGCAGCCUCACCUCCUGCUGAACGUCCCCCUACGCACCCAGAGUCAGUUGGGCGGUUUAGACUGCAUUCACCUGACCGGUGCCUUGACUCAAGCCAAGCUGUACUCUUACCACCUGAGACCACAGAGCGCAGGACAGGGGACGAGAGGACGGGGCAAACACUGAGCACGCACUGUGUUUACCAACGGUGCAUUGGAUAAACAGAUUUCAGUGUAUUUUAUUGGGAUUUCAUGAGGUUCAAGGCUUUUGGGGUUCAUCUAAACAUUGAAAUAUCUGGGCAGGUUGUAUGGAGGACGUUGCUACAUAUUAGUUUAAAUGGCUACUGAACUUUGACUGGGACACCUUAGGACUACGUAAUUAAUUCAUUUUAAUCUAUUAAUCAAAUUUUUGGUUUUUUAAGUUUUUUAAAUUUUUGGAAACAAUUAAAUCAAAAUGUCUUAAAUGUAUUUUACAUACAUUUAUGUAUUUUACAUCCCACCCCCCUCACUGCUAUCUUGUUUGAUAAGCGUGUUUUACAGCUUUGUUGACUUUUGGAAAUUUUCUGAGUCUCUAAUAUCUACAAUGGCCCUAAUAUGCCAUCAUAAAAAUCUUUAUAUUUAAAUUAUAUCCUUUGUAUUUUUUUUUCUUCUUGGGACUUUGCUGUCAGGCUAAAAUUUGAGUAACAGCAAGUUCUUUCCUUGAAAAUUACAGACAUUAAUCUCAAAGUUUCAGAGUUUUUUUUCUAACAAUUUUUCAAAAAAGGAGUACAUUUCCACCAAAAAACUUUUUUUCUUUCCAUCUACAAUGGCAGUAAUACAGCGUCAUAGGGAUUAAAUAGUUCUGCCGUGACAACAUUUAAGACUUGGGAUUA